ensembl:lincRNA
CUUAUAGAUAAGGAAGUCAAGGCUCAGAGCUGCGGGGCUCAUCUACCCUGCUGGCCAGAUGGGAGGUGCUGGAGCCUGGCUGAGUGUCACUUGGGCCUGAGCCAUGAGCUGCACCCCAUGGGAACCUGGCCUCUGACAUAGAGUAGGCGACAUCCGUUUGUGCUGGGGCUCCUGGACCAGAUGGUUCUGUGUGUAGCAGAGGGAAUUUAAGUCAAAGAAGAAACUCCUAACCGUGAACCAGACUCUCCUAUUCUGUGGGGGGUGAUGGAAGGGAUGGGACCCUCCAGCCAGGGCCAGGUGGCUGCAGGUGGGUAUCAGUGGCCGAAGUGGCCAUUUAUCAAGGGCAGACCUCAUGCUGAUUCCUCUGCAGGCUGCUCAGAGAAUCCCCAGGAAUCGCUGCAGAGCCCUUCAUCUCACAGUCAUUCAGAAAGCAUUCACUGAACCCCUGCUGUAUGUCAGGAGCCAUCCUAAGAGAAAUCUGGGCCCAGGGGCUGUCGUUCUUGUGGAGUGGCAGUAGGGGAGCAGGAGCCUAGUAAGCAAGGGAGCGAGGUCAUUUCAGGUUGUGCUGGGAACCCCAAUCCAGGGAGAUGGGAUGGAGGAUGGCUGGCAGCAAAGGACUGGGAGGGAAUUCAGAUGGGCAGUCAGGGGAGCCCUCUAGGAAGAGGUGUCAUUUCAGCAACUUAAACUUCAAUGAAAGGAGGAGCCACCCAUGCCUAGAUCCUCAGGGGCAAAUGAUGACAGAUGAUGUCAAGGAGGCUCAAAAGGGGUUGACCCCACCCAGCUCCCCAUGGGAGUUUUUCCCUUUCCCACUGGUGUUGUGUUUGAGGGCUGCAGGGCAUGGCCCCUCCUGAAGUCUGGUGUGUUCCUGGGCUGGGAAGGGAGGUGAACCUGCUUCAGUAGCCCCUGUCAUUUUCUGCCUCUAGAGACCCAGACCCAGGCCAGUGUGGCCCUCCAUGGCAGGGACAGUGGGGUCAGUGUGGACCUGGCAGCCCUGGUGUCCUGGCCACUGCACAGCCCGCUGCAACUGGUGGCCAAUGCCAGCCACACAGUGCCCACUCUCUGAGGCUGGGCCUGCCUUUCCCAACCAGCUUGUGUUCCAAGGACCCUGGGCAGCGGAAGAGAUGAGCUCCUCACUGCGGCUGACCUGCGAUUCUCAGACCAGCUUGGUCCUUAACGUCCGUGGCCAGAACCAGGCAGUCAGCAAAGAGUGGCUGUUCUCAGGCCGGCAUCGUCUCCCCUCCCUCCUGGGCCGCUGCCCCAGUUCAGCCUCAGUCUCAGCUAAGCUACACUACUGCAAGGAUGAGGUUCAGAGCACGUUUGCCUUGGGUGCGGAAGAGCGUCAUUUUCACAUCAGCACCCAGCUGGUAGCUGCUAAGGCCAGUCUUGCCAACUUCAUGAAGCUGGGACAGACUUUCCUACAGCUCAGUGCUCUUCCGGGAGAGCUGGUCCUGCAGACCACAUAUGAACGAGCUCAUGGGACCUGUGUCCUGCAUCAGGAGUUGCUGUGGAAUGGCCAGGUGUUGGCCAUCACUGGGAGCCUCUCUGGGCCUCUCCCCAAGCCCUUCAGGAACCUCAGCCUGCAGGGUGCAGCUCACCUGGAACAGAGGACAGCCUGUGACCCUGCAGCCUGCCAGGGCCGACAUGUCAGCACACAGCACUGCCUGGGACGGCUGCCUGGCAGCCUCCCCGGAACAGGUAUGUGGGGCCUGGCCACUGUGCCCAGUAUGGGGCUCCCCUUUGCUCCAGGCUUCUCGGCUGCCCCGCCAGGUCAUGUACCCUAUUUUUGUCCCUAUCAGCUCCAGGAAACCUGGGGCCUGGAUGCCCUCCGGCCUAUGGGGCCAUAACACAGACCCCAGACAUGUUCAUUGUACAGCUCGACGUGUCCUGGGGCCAGCAGUGCAUGCUGCAGAACUUGACAUAUGAGGUGAGGCCUGGGGAGCAGCGUCUGGGCAGGGAAGCCCCAGGCGGCUCCACCUGCUGCAGGAUGUCCCACUCUGGGACCGUGUGGUCUUGGGUUCCAGUGCUUGCCAGAUCCUGGGAAACUCACUUCUCCGCUGUGCGCCUUGGUUUUUCAUCUGUGAAAUGGGCACGGUACUCCCUUCCUAUCUAGGAUGCGGUGAGGGCUCUGGAAGACAAGAACAGCAGAUGUUUCCAGCAUGAGAUGCUGCGAACAGAUGGGGAAGGAGGUGGGGUGCUUGUAGGCUUCUCAGGAGGGGGCGGAGGGAGAUCAGGAGCUCAGGUUCCUGGAGGCAUCAGGGACCAGGUCUCUUCCAGCAUCACUGCCUGAUGGGUUCCUCGUGGUGUUGAGCAC